rnacentral:rRNA from 1 species
UACGUAUGUCGCAAGCGUUAUCCGGAUUUAUUGGGCGUAAAGCGCGUCUAGGUGGUUUGGUAAGUCUGAUGUGAAAAUGCGGGGCUCAACUCCGUAUUGCGUUGGAAACUGCCUAACUAGAGUAUCGGAGAGGUGGGCGGAACUACAAGUGUAGAGGUGAAAUUCGUAGAUAUUUGUAGGAAUGCCGAUAGAGAAGUCAGCUCACUGGACGAAUACUGACACUGAAGCGCGAAAGCAUGGGGAGCAAACAGG